AUACGUAGGUGGCAAGCGUUGUCCGGAUUUACUGGGUGUAAAGGGCGUGUAGGCGGGUAAGCAAGUCAGAUGUGAAAUACCGGGGCUCAACUCCGGAACUGCAUCUGAAACUGCAUAUCUUGAGUACUGGAGAGGAAAGUGGAAUUCCUAGUGUAGCGGUGAAAUGCGUAGAUAUUAGGAGGAACACCAGUGGCGAAGGCGGCUUUCUGGACAGUAACUGACGCUGAGGCGCGAAAGCGUGGGGAGC
rnacentral:rRNA from 1 species